rnacentral:rRNA from 1 species
AUUGAACGCUGGCGGCAUGCCUUACACAUGCAAGUCGAACGGUAACAGGUCUUCGGAUGCUGACGAGUGGCGAACGGGUGAGUAAUACAUCGGAACGUGCCUAGUAGUGGGGGAUAACUACUCGAAAGAGUGGCUAAUACCGCAUGAGAUCUACGGAUGAAAGCAGGGGAUCGCAAGACCUUGUGCUACUAGAGCGGCCGAUGGCAGAUUAGGUAGUUGGUGGGAUGAAAGCUUACCAAGCCGACGAUCUGGAGCUGGUCUGAGAGGACGACCAGCCACACUGAGACUGAGACACGGCCCAGACUCCUACGGGAGGCAGCAGUGGGGAAUUUUGGACAAUGGGCGAAAGCCUGAUCCAGCAAUGCCGCGUGCAGGAUGAAGGCCUUCGGGUUGUAAACUGCGUUUGUACGGAACGAAAAGCUUCGGGCUAAUACCCUGGAGUCAUGACGGUACCGUAAGAAUAAGCACCGGCUAACUACGUGCCAGCAGCCGCGGUAAGAC